rnacentral:rRNA from 1 species
UACGGGGGGGGCAAGCGUUGUUCGGAAUUACUGGGCGUAAAGGGCUCGUAGGCGGCCAACUAAGUCAGACGUGAAAUCCCUCGGCUUAACCGGGGAACUGCAUCUGAUACUGGAUGGCUUGAGUUCGGGAGAGGGAUGUGGAAUUCCAGGUGUAGCGGUGAAAUGCGUAGAUAUCUGGAGGAACACCGGUGGCGAAGGCGGCAUCCUGGACCGACACUGACGCUGGAGGAGCGAAAGGCCAGGGGAGACAAAGCGGG